rnacentral:rRNA from 1 species
AUUGAACGCUAGCGGGACGCUUUACACAUGCAAGUCGAACGAGUGGCGGACGGGUGAGUAAUAUAUCGGAACGUGCCCAGUAGCGGGGGAUAACUACUCGAAAGAGUCGCUAAUCCCGCAUACUAUUGGAGCGGCCGAUAUGGGAUUAGCUAGUUGGUGGGGUAAAGGCUCACCAAGGCCACGAUCCGUAGCUGGUUUGAGAGGACGACCAGCCACACUGGGACUGAGACACGGCCCAGACUCCUACGGGAGGCAGCAGUGGGGAAUAUUGGACAAUGGGGGAAACCCUGAUGCAGCCAGGCCGCGUGUAUGAGAAGGCCUUCGGGUUGUAAAGUACUUUUAGCAGGGAAGCGGUACCUGCAGAAGAAGCACCGGCUAACUACGUGCCAGCAGCCGCGGUAAUUC